rnacentral:rRNA from 1 species
GACGAACGCUGGCGGCGUGCUUAACACAUGCAAGUCGAACGGAAAGGCCCUGCUUGCAGGGUACUCGAGUGGCGAACGGGUGAGUAACACGUGGGUGAUCUGCCCUGCACUUCGGGAUAAGCUUGGGAAACUGGGUCUAAUACCGGAUAGGAGCCAUCUUUAGUGUGGUGGUUGGAAAGUUUUUUCGGUGUAGGAUGAGCUCGCGGCCUAUCAGCUUGUUGGUGGGGUAAUGGCCUACCAAGGCGGCGACGGGUAGCCGGCCUGAGAGGGUGUACGGCCACAUUGGGACUGAGAUACGGCCCAGACUCCUACGGGAGGCAGCAGUGGGGAAUAUUGCACAAUGGGCGCAAGCCUGAUGCAGCGACGCCGCGUGGGGGAGGAAGGCCUUCGGGUUGUAAACUCCUUUCGCUAGGGACGAAGCUUUUUGUGACGGUACCUAGAUAAGAAGCACCGGCUAACUACGUG